rnacentral:ncRNA from 1 species
CCUUAUCAAGAGUGGCUGAGGGAAUAGGCCCGAAGACGCCCGGCAACCUAGGUGCUUGCAUCCUACCCGCGGAGGGAGACGUGAAGCAGAAAAGGUGCUAAAUCCUACAGGAAUUUCACAGCGAGAUUUUCCUGAAAGAUGAGG